GAUGAACGCUGGCGGCGUGCCUAAUACAUGCAAGUCGAGCGAACAGAUGAGGAGCUUGCUCCUCUGACGUUAGCGGCGGACGGGUGAGUAACACGUGGAUAACCUACCUAUAAGACUGGGAUAACUUCGGGAAACCGGAGCUAAUACCGGAUAAUAUAUUGAACCGCAUGGUUCAAUAGUGAAAGACGGUUUUGCUGUCACUUAUAGAUGGAUCCGCGCCGCAUUAGCUAGUUGGUAAGGUAACGGCUUACCAAGGCAACGAUGCGUAGCCGACCUGAGAGGGUGAUCGGCCACACUGGAACUGGGACACGGUCCAGACUCCGACGGGAGGCAGCAGUAGGGAAUCUUCCGCAAUGGGCGAAAGCCUGACGGAGCAACGCCGCGUGAGUGAUGAAGGGCUUCGGAUCGUAAAACUCUGUUAUUAGGGAAGAACAAAUGUGUAAGUAACUAUGCACGUCUGGACGGUACCUAAUCAGAAAGCCACGGCUAACUACGU
rnacentral:rRNA from 1 species